AGGAGGGCCAGCAUAGGGAAGCCUACAGUGCAUCUGCCCACACUGUACUUGACCUGCAGAAAUAUAUUUCAGCAUUUCAUGUUACCAUCCUUGCUCUUUCGGGACUGUUGAAAGGGGAGAAGUGAAGGUCGUCUGACAGUGAGGAUGUGAUGCGGGUUGGUGUUGGGCCCUGAGGAGGCACGCCGUGCUGUGGUGUGUGCUUUUUAUGCCGUGCCCUGCAGUUCUGAAACCAGACCUGGGGAUUGAAAAAAAAUUACAAGCCAAAUGGACUCCUGUUUCACUCUGGCAGAGGGACAGUCUUGACAGCUCCUUUAGAGGACAUUAUGGGCAGUUUUAUGGACAUACAGACCCUUUGGAUUUAUAUACCAAAUGCUCAUGAUUUCCCCAGUUAUUUCAUUUUUCUGUCGGCUCCGAAGGAUUCUUUUGACUUUCCUUUUUGCUAUAUAUUUACACC